rnacentral:rRNA from 1 species
AAACGGCCGCGUUAGCGUGAGCGUGCUAAGGUAGCGUAAUAAAUAGCCCCUUGAUUGGGGGCCAGUGAAUGGCAAGACUAGGAACACUUGUACCUCUUAUACUUAAAAAACUUUUCAUCUAAGUGAAAAGNCUUAGAUAAUAAGGGUAGACGAAAAGACCCCGCGGAACUUUACCUUCUCCAGUUCAAUGCCAAGCAAGCACAAUAAACGAAAGGUUUGAUUGGGGCAAUCCUGGAACCAACAAAGCUUCCAACUUUUUUCAGAAAAACAUCCAAAAUUCAAUAAGGACAAAAAAGAAGUUACCCCGGGGAUAACAGCGUAAUCCAACUUGAGAGUACACAUCGAAAGCUGGGUUUGCGACCUCGAUGUUGGCUUAAGGAUAUCCACAUUAGUGCAAC